rnacentral:rRNA from 1 species
AGUGAACGCUGGCGGUAGGCCUAACACAUGCAAGUCGAACGGCAGCACAGUAAGAGCUUGCUCUUACGGGUGGCGAGUGGCGGACGGGUGAGGGAUACAUCGGAAUCUACUUUUUCGUGGGGGAUAACGUAGGGAAACUUACGCUAAUACCGCAUACGACCUACGGGUGAAAGCAGGGGAUCUUCGGACCUUGCGCGAUUGAAUGAGCCGAUGUCGGAUUAGCUAGUUGGCGGGGUAAAGGCCCACCAAGGCGACGAUCCGUAGCUGGUCUGAGAGGAUGAUCAGCCACACUGGAACUGAGACACGGUCCAGACUCCUACGGGAGGCAGCAGUGGGGAAUAUUGGACAAUGGGCGCAAUCCUGAUCCAGCCAUACCGCGUGGGUGAAGAAGGCCUUCGGGUUGUAAAGCCCUUUUGUUGGGAAAGAAAAGCAGCAGGUUAAUACCCCGCUGUUCUGACGGUACCCAAAGAAUAAGCACCGGCUAACUUCGUG